CCCUGCGUGCUCCCCUGCCGCUCCUUCCUCCUGCUCCCUGUCCCCCUGUCUCGUCCUCCCCCCCUCCUCCUCCUUUGCUCUUGCGCCCGCCAUCCUGUUGGGUUGGGUUUGGGGGGCUCCCGUUGGUCUGGGGCACUGGUGGGGGGGCUGUGGCUCCCGCCUGGGGGGCGGGCGGUGCCGUGCCGGGUGGGUUGGCUGGGGGGUGGUCUCGUUGGGGGGCCUGGGGUGGUGGGGUCCUUGGCUCCGGUCCGGGGGGAUCCGGGGUGGGGGUGGCUUUGGGGGUGGCUGCUGCCCGGGGUCGGCGAUUGCCUCCUGGGUCGCUGGGUGGCGGGGUGUGGCUGUGGGUUGCUCCGUCGGCCCUUGCGGGUCCUCGGCUUGGCUCUCUAGGGCGCGCCCUCGCCAGGGAUGUCGCUUGCGCGACGAGCCAGGCGGGGCCCCCUCCGGGGCUUUUGUUUGACCGCAAUGGCCGGGGUGUGGCCGUUACGGCUAGGGGUGGGGGGUGCUAUGGGGCCUCCCCGGGGGUCGUGUUAAGUGGGUGUGCGGGGGCGCGGCGCGUGGCUCUUGGCCUGGUGGAUCCGCGUCGGGAUUGGCUGGUCUGCUGGCUGGGUGCACCGGGCGCCGUGGGCGCCAUUCCGGGGCGGGGGCGUCACGGGGGUGGAUCCGUGGUCUGGGUGUCCGGGGGCGUGCUCUCCUGUCAUCUGCCCGGGGACCGGCCGCGGCGCGUGGCGACGCUGCGCAGCCUUGGGCGGGGCGGGGCUGGUGGCCUGGGGCCCGCUGUCGUCCGGGGUGUGCUGGCGUCGGGGGGGUGUCUCGCGCCGGUGCGUGGGUCGUCGGGGAUCGCCUCCGUGGGGGGGGGGGGGGGGGGGCUCUACUGGCGCCGUUGGUGUGGGAUGGCGGUACCGGGCUGGGGGUGCUUCGGUACUCGGGCUUGCCGGUCCGGUGGAGAGUCUGGCUGGCGGGGUGGCCCUGCUUGGCGGUAGAUGGUGUCCUCUUUCGUCGGGGGGGCCGGGGCCGCCUCCCGGUGGAGAGUGUUAUAUCGUGGCGCCGGGUGGGCCUGUGCUGGCCCUGGUGCGGGCACGGGCCUCCCCCCUGCUCGGCCGCCCUCCUUGGCGGCGGGGGGGGCGUCGCUCUGGGCCGGCGUGCGGCGGGGGUCGCCCCCUGGAGCACCGGGGGAUGGGGUUGGUGCCUGGCUGCGCCCGGGGGUGGGGGGUGCCGCCGUGCUCCGCGGGGCCGUCGCGGUCUGGGGGGGUG
rnacentral:lncRNA from 1 species